CGGACAGCGUCUCCAAGCCGGCUGACAAGCCGACUGGGCCGCCCAGGGCCGCCGCCGCCGCCCUUAAUGCUGCGCCGACUGCGCAUGCGUCGGCUGUCCACCGGCAGCUGCGGGCGGUGCCACAGCGCGCUUGCGCGAGCCGGGGCCGCUCCGCCAGCUGCGCAUGCGUCCUCGCGCCGGGAGCGCUGCUGUACGGCCGCCGGGCGAGGCAGGCAGGCUAGUGGACCUGUUGAUACUGGCUCUGCCGAAUUAGCUAAUCUCAACAGUGCUGUGGUCUCCUUUCACCUCCUUCCACUUCACUGGUUUCUGUUAGGUGCCCCAGGGAGAGAAAGGCAGUUUUCCACCUAGGUAAGUGUCCAGUGAAUUGACAACAUUCAUUCAGCGGGUACGUUGGGAGCUGCAAGGGUCAGCCUGGUGUUGACCUUCACCUUAGGGAAACAUAUGACUCCCCCCCCCCCAAAUUACAUGGAAUCUCGUGGGAAAGACAAAAUGCAGCUACGAUAAGCAUACAUUGUUUAAUGUUGUUCAGGCUAAUUUUUUACCUUGGUCAAUAAAGCGUACAACUGCACUGAGCA
rnacentral:lncRNA from 1 species